rnacentral:lncRNA from 1 species
AGGAACCCUCUAUCCUUACUAGAACUAUUUAUGUAGAAUCAAGAUUUAUGGAUUCAUCCUAGAACUCCCCACUACUUCAAAACUAUCACUAUUCUUUAUAAAGUCUACCACUUUACAAGUAUUUAUGGGUUUAUCAAUUCAAUUUGUAAGGAGGCAUCACUUAUUUAAUUAGCACUCCAAGGAAACGGAAAGAUCACUAGUAAAGAAAAAGCCUAAGAAAAGAUGCAAAAGAAGCAAAUGAGAAACAAGUUGCAGUCUACCCAUUUAAAAAUAAUUAAGAGGAGCAAUAAUAUGACCAAGAAUCAUUAAAACAUCAUAACUCACAUUCAACCGCUCAAGAUUAACCUCGACUCCACAAUGGCCCUCGAGUACACAUAUAGUGACAUUGCCAAUCCCAUAUCCUAAAUCCUAGGGCAUAUAGCGAGUUCUCACAAUAAGUAUGGACUAAUUUGAAGGCUCAAUCUAGAGUUUCACUUGACAAUCAAGUAGACCUUCCUCAAGAGGUUGGAUACAAGAACCCAUCACUAUGCUAACAUAUAAUUGCAAUCACGCAUCAUAACCAAGUACAAUUAAUUUUUAAUCUUGCAAGAUACUCUUUAAACUCAAAAACAACUGAAAUCUGAGCAUUGAAUUGUUUACCUUGUAGGUACAUUCCCCUGUCAAAGAACUUGCUUGCUGCUGCUACUAGUGCAACCUCCGCUCGUCAUCAAUUUCCUAUUCCACACUAGAAUAGGUUUUAUUCAUUCUACAUUUUUUAAUAAGCACACCAAGUUUAAGAAUAUUUUUCUAUAUAACAUAAUUCAUUCAAUAUUGAGUAAUGUUAUAUAGAAAAAUAUUUUUAAGACCAAAGCAAAACUAGAAAUGAAGACAGACUAGAGAGAAAUGUGUUAAUAAAAAAACAUCUAAGAAAAAAUUUAUUCCCAACUUUUAACUUCUUACAAACGAGGAGUUAGAUCCGAAACUCAAAAAACUAAGUGCUUAUGAAGGCCAGUAGCUAAAAAAUUACAAAGAAGCCCAUUACAAUUCCGUAUAGUUCAUAUUAGUACAAAACAUGGUUAUAAAAAUAAGUUAAUAUAAUGACAGUAUAAUGUGAAACUCAUAUACACAAGACACAUCAUCAGAAAGGAUAAUUCAUCUCAUCCACAACCUAAGUUGUGUAGGAAGGUGUCCUAAGAUUUAUUCCAAACUCAUCACAUGAUGCGUAAUACUGUCAAAAUGCCCUAAAUAAACAGAGAAAUUUCCAUUAUAUAACAAAAGUAUAGAUUCAGAAGCAUAUAGAUAUAUUUAGCAUCACAGAAUCAGAUCAAGUGUUGGAUUAUAUAUUUUGCUUCAUCCUUAUCUACCACAGUUAACAAAACGUUUUCAAAGAAGCUAGAUCUGUAAAAGCAAAUUAAGAUUUAAGCAUUACUGAGAAAUUUAGUUCCCCGACGUCCAAGUACAGCAUCGAAAUUGCAGUAGUGGAUAGCGAGGGGAACACAAUUAUAGGCUUCAAUUAAACACUACAAACACAUUUGAAAAGUGAAUGCAACAAUAAAUUCCAGAUCUGAAGCCACAAAGUUUCGAUAAUUGAAAAUUGAAAACUUAUAAAAACAACAAUCAAAGAGAAAGUGGGGAGAAGAACUAGUUAACUCAGCCCCUUAGAUGUUCAAUAAAUCUGCGAUCAUUCCCGCAAAUCAUUACAGGUCUGUUAAGAACUCAUCACAGUUAAAACUAGUCAUUCUCCAUAGUUGUUUUCGCAUUCUCCCAGAACCAAAAAAAAGGAUUGUGGAAGUGAAAAUGGAAAAAUAACACAUAUAACUAUUGCUUCAAGGGAACGAGUCUAAAGGGAAUUGAAAGAAUCCACAUCGACCAGAUAGUGAAGCCAAUUCCAACUGCAAAUUGAAAUUGAAACAGAUGCUAUGAAAAAACAUACGACCACAGAGUGAAGAUUGUAAGAUGAAAAUUAGAGAGUAUAGAGUAGAAAGAAGAAGAGAAGAAGUGAAUGUGAACGGCGCAGGAAGCAGUAGGUCUGUAUAGUUGCUUAUAUAAUGAAGAUAAUAAGUGAUCCGACGGCUAGUAAAUAAGUAAUCCGGUCAAACUCUAAUAGCCAGCUUGCAUGUUGAAUCGAUAAUACCGUUGGGUCUGAAUAAGAGUAAUAAAAGGCUCGAGGAAAAUAAAAGAAAUCUCUACCCCAUAUCUCUUCAUUUAUUUCAUGAGAAAAGGGAAUAUGAACUAACAAUGUAAUAUCACACUUUUAUUUUUAAUAAAUGAUUAUGAUUUGGUAAUAUAUAAUAUUUUGAUUGAAUGUUAGUGUAAUAUUUUUUUACAUUUACAAUACAUUAUCUUUAAUCUCUUAUUUCAUUAUCUCUCCAUUAUAAAUAUUAUUUUAACCAAAAUACCUUCUUAUAAAUAGUUUAUUUGUCAAAAAAAAAUAUUUUUUCACUCUCAUUUUUUAAGUGUUUUGAUUCAACAAAAUUAUCUUUUAUUUCGAAACUUUUUUGGCAUUUUAUUUGAUAUAUAACUUUUAAAUCGGAAUGAAAUCAAUAUUUGAUUUUAUCAUGUCAUUGAAACUCUUAAGAAUGGAAUUUCGAUUCUUUUGCUACACACUUGAAUUGUUUUGUCCAGUAAUCUAAGGAAACUCUCACCGAAACUCUUUUUACAAAGUGUUCUGAUAGUUUGUAAACUUAAUACACCGAAAUUCUUACAACAAUUGUUCUCGUUUGAUUUUAUUCUAGAGCAUGGUUUAGGAUGGAGCACUCGAUCGUCGUUGGUAGGUAAGGAUGAGCAUAUUGGUGAAUUUGCAUCCGCACCACAGUCGGUUGGGUUUCUAUGAGGGUAAAUUUUGUGUUUUAUAAUAUGUAUACUUUUAACUGAUUUCUGGAGAGAUGUUCGAAGAAAUAGCUAAAGGUUGUUAGACAUGGGACCAAGCUUACAAGAAGGGUUCCUCAUUGUCUUCCACUAGACAUGGAGAGUAUAACUCGGUCUGGUCUAUCUUCACUACAUAGAAUCAGUUUGACAAAAAUAAAUAUAAACCCGGUAUCAACAUUUGUAGAGAGGUGACAUUCAGAGACAUUUUUAUUUCACAUGUCAUUCGGUGAAAUAAACAUUACAUUGGACGACGUCUCUUGUCUGCUUCAUCUGCACAUCAGGGAUGCCGCUAAAGAAGUUAUUAUUGGUCUUGUUAUUGAAGAACUUGAAAAAACAUCAAAUAUUAUCUUAAUUGGGAUUAUGAAGGCCAGUAGCUAAAAAAAUUAUAAAGAAAUCCAUUGGCAAAGCAGUAUGGUUCAUAUUAUUAAAAAAAAAAGGUUAUAAAAAAAAUUAAUAUGACAUUAUGAUUGUGAAAAUCAUAUACAUUAGUGCAUCAUCAGAAAAGAUAAUUCAAUUUACAUGUAUAAUAAUUAAGAUUCACCCAUUUACGAUGUCCAUGCAAUUUACAUUUAGGUAUCAUAGUCAUAGAGAAGAACCUUAGUCUGUUUGGGAGUUUUAGGGUAAGGGAGGGAAGACCUUUCAAAAGGGAAGAAUUUAAUGGAAAAUUUUGAAGGAUUUUUGUUAGGAAAGUUUUGGAGGAUUUUUUAUCUAUUUAUAACACUAAAGACCUUCUAAUUUGAGAAACUCAAACUAUAAGAAGGUUUUGGAGGACUUACAUAAAUUUUAUGUUGUUACAAUAUUUUGAAAAUUAAGAAUAUAGUAAUGAUAAAUACUCUUUUAUCAUUUAGACAAAAUCAUUCUUUUCAAAGAAAUCAAAUAUUUUUCUAUAUUCUUUUUUUAAAAAUUUUGGAAGUCUUCAUUUCCCCUCCCUUCCAAACUCCCAUAAUAAGUCUAAGUGUUCUCACUGAACUUUCACUAAAUCAAACUUAUAUAUAUACAAAACUAUCUAACUAAACAUACUCAAAUUCUAUUGUCAAAUUAGAACUUGUUCCUCAAACUAUUUUUCUCACAUGUUUCCUACAAUUUCAUUUUGAUUAUAUCUUUUCUUGACUUUUGUGAAAAUUUGGAUCGAACUCUAGUCUCGACAGGGGUAACUUCUUAGUUCGACAAAGGCUUAGCAUGCAGUUGAAGCAUGUUCACAUGUUGAUCAUGCAUGUUGUAGUCGAAGUAUGUUCAAGUAUGCAGUAGUCGAAAUGUUAGGUUUAUUAGCAUGUUGAAUUGGGCAUUUUGUUUAAGUCCAACUUUUUAAGUUAGCUUGUAGCCUAAGUUGACUUAGUAGUCUAUAAAUAGACCAGUUCUCUCAAGUUGUUGAAGAAGUUAGUUGUUGUUAUUUACUUGUAAUCUUUAAACACUUAUUGAGGAAGUGAAUAGUAAAAUAAUUUUAACCAAUUAUGAUUCUUCUUCUUAUUUCUUCUCUCUCUUAAAAUAUAAUAGGGUUUCUUGUGUUUGUUCAAGAAACUCAAUAUUUAUCUCAUAUUUUGAUUUUUACUUGAUGACAUCAAUUCACAACAAACUGGUGUGGUGAGUGUGGAAAAGAAGAUUUCGUCAACAAUGUAUGAGAUUGAGAAAUUCACUGGUGUGAAUGAUUUCGAUUUGUGGCGCUUGAAGAUGCAAGCCCUUCUCGUUCAACAGAAUUUGUUAGAAGCGAUGAAAGGAUCAGAGAAGAUAGAUGUUGCCCUAUCGGAGAAGGAGAAGACAAUGAUGGUCGAGAAAGCCCAUAAUGCAAUUAUAUUGAGCCUUGGUGAUAAGGUUCUCCGGCAGGUCUCAAAGGAGAAGACAACAACGGGUGUAUGGGGAAAACUUAAGGGUUUGUAUAUGAUGAAAUCCUUAGUCAAUCAUCUCUACCUGAAGCAAGCUUUGUAUUCAUUCAAGAUAAUUGAAGACAAAGUCUUGGCUGAGCAAGUGGAUAUGUUCAAUAAGUUGAUUUUUUAUAUUUAGAAUAUCAAGGUCAAGAUUGAUGAUGAAGAUAAAGUGUUGUUGUUGUAAUAUGCUUUACCAAAGUCUCAUGCUUACUUCAAAAAGCUCUUAUGUAUGGAAGAUAUUCAUUGACCUUUGGAGAUGUUCAAUAUGUCUUGUACUCUAAGGACUUUAACGAAUGAAAGGAGCAUAAAUAAUUUUCAGUCGGCGAAGGGUUGUCCGUUAAAGGAAGAUUCUUGAAAAAAGGCGAUAGGUUUGAGAAGAAGAAGGGUAAAGUUCUACAAAAUUCUUAUGGGGGUAAUGCUCUUGUUAUUAAGUGUUAUCGUUGUAAGAAAGAGGGUCAUACAACAAAAGUAUACCCUGAUCGUCUGAACAAUCAUGGUGGAAAGGAUAAUGGUAAUGCAGCCAUUGUAUAAUAUGAUUAUAAAUCAUCUGAUGUCCUGGUGGUUUCAAGCAACAACUCUAGUAAGAAGUAGAUUAGAGUUGCAGAUAGAGUUGUCCUGGUUUGGUCGUCGCACAAAGGGGCACCCAAUAAUUCGUUGCAGAUAGAGUUGUCAUGGUUUACUCUAUCAUUCACGGCCUUACCAUCUAUACGAAGAUCCAACAACAUGUAUACAUCCUCAAGUGUGACAAUACACUCACCGAUAGAAAGGUGAAAUGUGUGGGUCUCGGGUCUCCACCUCUCCAACAAAGCAAGAAUGAACUUGUAGUCUACCGAGUACGAGACAAUGUUGAGGAGAUUUCCAAAUCCACAUCCUCUAAUAUAUGGUUAUAUCAAAGGAUCGUGGGGUACAUAUUCAUGUACAUGGCAUCGAAAACGCUUUGGGUCCUAAUAACACAUAAGUAAGAAAUACAAUAAGAAGAAGUAAUAUAUAAUACAAACAUAGAUAACAAAGGUAUACGAGUUAAAAAUGGAAUAAGUAAAAAGAGAGUGAUAACAUACAAAUGUCAAGAUAUUCUCAAGUGUUCCUCUGUGUUCAUCACCCAUAGUCAAUAAAGACAUAAUUUGAUGUUGCAGAGCUUAAGUGUGGCAGAGAAAAAGUGUGGUAAAGAAAGAGUAUAGAUGACUAGUGUUGUAGAUGAUUUGAUAUUGUGAUUUGAAGCCUAUUUAUAUAUGAGGAAGUCUUACUAGGUUUGCAACCUACACAACAUGUGAUUGGUUGCAUGCAAUGCAAAAGUAGAGUAACCAUGGUCUUAGGCACAUGCAUGUGAUUGGUUGCCACUUCUUAUUUAAUAAUUAUUUAGUAUUUAAAUCUUAUGUUUGAUUUAAAUUUUGUUUUUAUAAAAUUUUCUUCAAGAAAAUCAAUGACAAUUAAAAAUUAUAAUAUUGAGCAAUGGAUGAGUCAUAAACACUCACGAGACGAUCUUCUAGUAAGUGUUAUCACUCAGUAUAAAAAAGUAUUAAGAAAAUGAAUUAUAAAGCAAAGAUGUUACUUAGGAAUGAACACUAAACAAUAUCGAAAUUUCUACUCAAAUAUUCUAUUUUUUCAAAAAAAAUCUCAAAAUAACCCAAUUUUCAAAAACAUUAUCGAACUAUCUCAGUUUAAAAAAAAAUACGUAAGGUAUAGGCGUCAGACCAAUUAGCGUCUACACUUAAACUUUAAGUGGGGAUGCCAAUUGAAUUGGGUAAAGCACAUAGUGCUGCCAAUCCAAUUGGCGUCCAUGUGUUAUUUGUAAUAGGAGGCGUCAAUUGGUUUGGCGCCUCAGUGUAAUGUGAAAUUUUUUGGUUAUAAAUAGAUAUGUUGUAUGAUUCAUUUUUCCAUAUCUCAUUUUAUCAUAUUGCAAACAUGUUUGGUGUUCGUUGUCGUUAUGAAAAAGUGAUUUAUUCGAAAGACAAGCCUCCGAUGUAUGCUUUUCUGGAACAUCUGUAGUUUCGAUCAACUGAAGAGAUAGUUGAUUCGUUGGUUAGAUGGAAAAUUACCAGAAGGGGGAAAAAUUAGAAGUAUUGAGAGACUCGAUAGUAUAUUUGGUCAGGUGCAAGUCAAAAUUGAUAAGGAUGCUAGGGAAAUGAUGUUUGGACGACAUGACAUCAGUUUGAUUGUUGUAAUCAGUUAGAAAUAUUUUGCUUUAAGUUUGCUUAUGUUGUAGUGAUGUUUGUUGUUAACAUUGUUGUAACAAAAAGAUAAUGAUAUAUAAAAAUCCAGGGUUACAAAAAUUGAAAGGAAAUACUAAAUUAUGAUACAGAUAUUGCUCCUAUAUUGGGACAUUUGUUCUUAUUGUGUCCUGGUUGACGACAUAUAUUACAUAAUCUUAUCAUUUUAUCAGUCGUAUCCAUUUCUGUUCUAAUACGCGUGCUGUUUGGUCGUCCUUUUUUUUCUCUUCGCAUCUCAUCGUUGUGCCAAACUGUGUCAUCUUCAUAUGGAGACCAGUAUUCCUCCAUUGGUAGCAUUGAAAAGCUUUUGUUAUACACAUUCAUGACGGUAAUGGCCUUGUAAACAUCAGAUAGAUGGUUGUAAGCGUCCUGGCGAGUAUGUGCGCAUGCCGCAAUGACAUGGGAGCAAGGAAUACAGAAGGCCUAAAACUUUCCACAAUCGCACCAACUUCUGUUUAGUUUGACAGCAUAUGAUAAAUCUGGCAUCCCCUCAUUGUGGUCCAUUGUUUCCUAUACAGUUGAAUUUUGCCUAUGACGGUCAAAGACUGUAACCACGUGUGUGCUAACUUUGAUACUUUCCUCUUUCAUCACUUUCAUAUAACAUUCACUGAAUAUUUGACCCGACAUUAACAUUGAACUCUAUCUUUCACCUCUGGUUGCGAAGGUAGAAGUCAACCAAAAAUAGAUUGUUCUGACCAAAGCAAUUAUUAGUAGAUUUCUAAUGCAUUUGAAUACGUCGUUUAUGCAUUCCACAAGUUUUGUUGUCAUGUGGCCUCAUCGACAGCCUCUGUCAAAUGCCAUUGUCCAUUGCUCUAUUGGUAUGUUAUCCACCCAUCUUCCCACAUUUGCAUUAGACAAUCUAAUUUCAUCAUGGUAAUGUUGAAAUGACAGCUGAGUUAGAGCAUACCCUGCAUUCACCACUUUUUGCGAAGGACAUGGGUGGAAGGAGGAUCAUGUAGUUAUUGUAAGCACUCUCAAUGGAAGCAUGUCUAUCUGAAAUCAAACAGAGAUUGACUUGUGGAGCGACAUGUGUUCUGAGAUGUCGAAGGAAGAAACCCCAACCACCAUCGAUUUCACCUUCUACCAAAGCAAAGACAAUGGAAAAGACAUUAUUGUUGUCGUCUUGUGCAACAACCAUAAGCAAAGUACCAUUGUAUUUGCCGUAUAACCAUGUUCCAUCAAUUUGAAUAAUAGGUUUGUAGAAUGCAAAACCUUUGGAUGCACGGUUCAAACGCCCAAAAGAGGCGGUGAAAGAUUAUAUUUCCAGCAACACGGGUUUUGUUUGGCGUAAAUGUUGGCAAUGUCUCCAUAAUUGCAACAGUUCCUGGUAUGUAUGUUUUUAGGGCCCAUAAAAAUCAUGACAAUUCUUUGCAUGAAUCCUCCAAGUUGCCGAAUACAUGUUCAACAACUUUUGUCCUUGCAAUCUGAUCGUUGUGAUUCACAAGUGAACGAAUAACGUCAAAGUAAUAUAAAAGAAUAUCGAUCCCACAGAGACCAAUCGUCAAUCUAUCGAAUACUAUCGUUACGGUUUUUAUCUAAGGCGGUAUAAAAGAGAUAUUUGGUGUGCAAAUUAACGGUAAAUAAUAAAUGCAGGUAAAGACAGGUUGAAUGUAAUUCACGUCAAUUAAGUGAUGUUUCGAUUGUCUAAAUAGAACUACUUAUGAGGCAAUAUUUUCUACUCUUGAAAAGAAUCCAUUUAACGGGAACUAUUGCUUUCGCGUAUUUAGAACCGAGUUUACCCUUAAAUUAAGGCCUUUUAUUGUCACAUAUAAAAGGUGCGCAGAACGCUAAAGUAGUAAACCUAUUUUUAAGAAAUGAGACUCGUAGACUUAGUUGAAAAGUGAUUUUGAUUUGGAAAGUUUACCUAAGGAGUUUACUGAUUUUAAACCUAUCAACGCGUCCGAAAACAGUUUCAAAAAUAGCUUUUCCUUAAAGUUAUAAAGAUUCCUAGUUACUAUGCCAGGGUUCUUUCGCACUCCUCGAAUAAUUAAAACUAACCAAGUUUGUUUUAGAAAACUCAAGUUAAAAAUCAAAACAACCUUUAAAGUAUUUCUACAGAUUUCAAUAUGUGAAACAUUACUUUAACCGUGAUCCAAACUAACCAAGUUUGUUUUAGAAAACUCAAGUUAAAAAUCAAAACAACCUUUAAAGUAUUUCUACAGAUUUCAAUAUGUGAAACAUUACUUUAACCGUGAUCCUUACAUUCUAACCUUUAAAAGAUUUAGCCAGACAUAGUAACCCAAACAAACAUAACAGUGUUAAUCAUGAUGAAAAGUUUGUUUUAGACUGUGAGGCGUAGAGAGCGAGUAAAAUGCGUAAAAUAAAUAAAGUAAAGCGAGUGCGGAAAAUAAAUAAAGUAAAGCGAGUGCGGAAAAUAAAUAAAAUAAAGCGAGUGAGGAAAAUGAAUAAAGUAAAAGUGAAUGCGGAAAAUAAAUAAAGUAAAAGCGAUGCGGGAAAUAAAUAAAGUAAAAGCGAUGCGGGAAAUAAAUAAAUAAAGCGAUAAGUAAGAACCUGCUCCAAACGGAAGCUUUGAUUCUGAUACAAAAAUAAACCUCUGACUCCUGAAGCUAAAGGCGACAUCAACUCGAAGUGACCCAACUCAAUCUCACAAUGGUGCGAUAACCCCCCGAUGUGACGGAUUAUCGCUAUUACAAAUGAUAAAUAUAUGCUUAGUGUUGUAAAACUAAGUUGGAUGAUAGAAAACGAAAUGAAAUGAGCUAUUUAUAGAGAUUCUCAGCAGUUUGCAAAGACCAUGGUGCCCUCCAACUUCUCCUUAAUGGGCUUUAGUGGGAACGUGAUUUCCAAAGGUGGCGCCCACCAUCCCUUCAUGGCGCCCGCCAUGUGUGUAAAUGGGGUGAAUUGUGGGAACAUGGCGGUUACCUCCUGGUUGAGGGCUGGUGACUCAUGGCUUCCCCUAUAGCGGCCGCCAUGUGUGUAAUUUCGCCGAAAAACCCUAAUUUUAGGUCUUUUUGCUUCGUUUCUUCCAAAAGAGUCCGAAAGUGCUAAAUAUCUGAGCCGCCAUGUGUGUAAUUUCGCCGAAAAACCCUAAUUUUAGGUCUUUUUGCUUCGUUUCUUCCAAAAGAGUCCGAAAGUGCUAAAUAUCUGAAAACAAGAGAAAAGAGAGCAUAAUACAAAUAAAAUUAUGAUAAAGUCCUAAUAAACAUGUGAAAUCCGAGUCAAAAAUACGGUAUAAUUCGAUGCGAUCAAACUCUCCCACACUUAAACCUUUGCUUGUCCUCAAGCAAAACUCUUUAUAGUUUAUGCAAGAAAAUCAAUAUCAACUAAAGUUAAUUUGAGGAAAAAAGACUUACGAGUUCAUUAAAGGAAUGUAUCGAUAGGUACUAACGAAUCGAACUAAGGGUAUUGUAGUGACACUUCCCGCAAUUGCGGUCGUAGGCUUCGUUCCUAUACAAGUCAAUCCACAUCACCCCACCAUACCUAAGCCUUCUUUUUGUUUUCCUAAAUUCCUUUUCAUUCAAGUGCAAUCACAUUAAGCCCGUUAUCUAUACAUACUCAUAUUAAAGUGACCGGUUAGUGAUUAUGAUCUUAAGCAUGGGGCUCUGGUACAUGAGUUGGUGUAGCCCUUUUAUUUAACCCAAUUUUCGGUCAUGGGGGAUUGGAUCGUAAUCCACCCUACCAAGUUCAACACCAGAUACCUCUGGACCGACAAGCAAAUAGGCUUUUUAUUUUAUUUUUCUAAACAUGGGGCUCUGGUACAUAAGUCGACCCAAUUUGCAGUUGUGGGGGAUUAGAUCGUGGUCCACCCUACCAAGUUCAGCACCAGAUACCUCUGAACCAACAAACAAAUAGGCUUAUUAUUUUUAUUUUUCUCCUGCAUGUUCCGCAUAUGUUUUUAUUUUUGCUAGGUUAAAUGACCGUGUGAGAGUCACCUAGCCCGGAUUUUCAUGCGGUUUGGGAACAAAGCAAGGAUUUUUGUGAUCACUCACUUAUUUUCAUCGGUCCCCUACGUAGAGCAUGCUUAAGUCGGAGCUGACUGCUAGGAUAAACUACUUAAGGACCUAUUUGGAACAAAAAUUGGGGCUACAUCAUAUGGGGUAUCGGGAUCGACUCUUAUAAUCAUGAAGCCUAAGGUGUUAAGACAAUACCGAUUUUUGAAAAAGUUUUCCCAAGUCUUUUACAUCCUAUUAUAAACCUGUCAUGUAGCUUGAAUGUUCAAGAUGUACUGGUUUCUUGGCUAAAAAAAUUUUUGGUAAGGUUAAAGAAAUUGGGGAAAUAAGGAUACACUUUACACAGAUGACUCGUCAGACACAUGUUAUUUUAUUGAAAGGGAAAAACAAGCAACUAAAAUAAAAAAAAAACAUACUAAAAGUAAAAGAAAGCGAUAAAGAGCAAUAAAAGUAAAGGAAAGCAAUAAAAACAAAGGAAAGAUGAAAAGCGAUAAAAUCUCCUCCCACACUCAAACUGAACAUUGUCCUCAAUGUUUCGUGAGAGAUAGGGUAGGAGUAACCUGGAAAAGAGAGAGAGAGAGAGAGAGAGAGAGAGAGAUCUAGGGGUGAGCACCGGUACCAUCACCGCCCUGGUCAGGAUGCCUGGGUCGACGACGUCUGGAUCGAGUACUAAGUCCUUCCUGCAGCUGCCGAGAGCGACCUAGGAGAGCUCCUUGGUUGGCCUUGAUGAGAGCGAAGUGACGCUCAUUAGACUGUCGCAUGUGUUGCUGCUCAUUAGUGAUCGCAAGCAAAGACUCAAUGAUAGUCUAAUGUGCUCGCUCACUACGCUCUUGGGAAGCUACCAUAAAACUCAUAUUGUCUGACAGUUGUUGGUUUAUGGUGUUCAGGAGGGUGUCACGUCUUUCCUCACGAGCCAUGUGCUCGCGCCACAUCUCCUCAGUGAUGUAGAAACCGGGAGUGGUACCUGCAAAAGGGUUAGAGGAAGAAGGUGCGGUGUGUACAGGUGAUGCAACAGGAAUAUCAUGAGUUGGCGACUGGUCGCGUCGGUCAUACUCAUCAUCGGUUCCUUGCCCUUCGUCCAUAGGAACGUUAGGUGGCAAAGGACCGGUAAAUGGCAGACCAUCAAGAUCGUAUGUCCAAUUCCUCGCAUGUCGCACAUCCGUACGCUGAGAGCAAGGUAGAACAACGAUGGGUACAGCUGCACCAUGUAUCAUAAGAUAGAAACCACCUUCUCGCCGCACCUUGCAUAAUUUCAUAUCUUUCAAAAACUUCAAGUUAAUGGUGUGGUGAUGGAGUGGUUCCAAGGUAGCUAACUCAGCGUGUAGAUUCAACGCUCUAGAGAUAGAGGUAAUUAAACCACUGAAAAGAGAUGGUUCCUCCUUUCUUAAGGAUGGCAGACAUAUGGGCCAACAUGAAAGGAACAAGAUUGAUCCUGCGAUUAGUAAGGCACCCCUGUAAAAAUAGCAUUUCUCGGGCAUUUACUUUGUUAGAAUUUUCCCGGCUAAAUAUAGUACAUGCCAAAAGGUAUCUAAAAAUACGUAUGGCCGGGUUAUGGAUAUUUGAAGCCAAAAUUCCCUCAAAGGAAGUGACAUUCACAUUAGAUAAUCGGUUCCAGAAAGUAAAUGCCUCGAUUGCCCACUAAAGGAGAAUUGCCAUCUAAGGCGCAGCGGAAUUUAAAAAUUUCUCCAUUUAGUGAUCCUUACGAAUGGGCAUGAUCAGUGAUAGAAUCGUUACCUCUUGUGGCGAUUCAAACCUUUGGUGUAGAUCUCUUGUAACAAUCAAAACCUUUGAUACAGAUCCACGGGGCGAUCACGAACGUUGAACGAUGACAACGUCUCUACUCAGUCCACACGAACGGAUUCCUUCAAUCGCAGUGCUAGCUGUUAUGAAUGAAGGCUUUGAGUGAGAGAGAGAUACGAAAUUCCAACUCUUCGUUGUGUUGUCUGUCUCAGUGAGUUACAUUGCUUCUACCCAGGGGUUUUAUUUAUAGAACCACUUGUGUGGGCUUCAGCCAAAAAGCCCACUUAAGUGCAUUUUGGCCCAUCUCAUUAAUAUGCAAAUCACUUAAGUAUUUGGUACCUUACCAUAUUUCGUAUUCUACUUAGUACACCGUACCUUACGAUGUUCCUUAAUUCAUUCUACUCUAUCAAUCCGUCCUUUAGUGUGACCCUAUAGGUUUUCGCAGACGUUGCAAUUAUAUUAAUCACGCAUUUAACAUAAUAAACAGUGAGCGGUAUCUAGCGACACCUCACUGCUACCCAAGUUACCGAAAAUGUCAUGUGACUGACAAACUCCUGUGAUAAUAAUUAUGUGUAUAAAUUACCCCUUUGCCCUUAUGUCUAUAUUGAACACAGGUAUAAACCGUGAUUACCUUGUCCAGUUCAUAUGGGCCCAUAGACAUUUAUCCUGUUGCGCAGGAUAGGCAAAUUCCAUCUUAGGACACUCAUGUCCCUCAGCAUGCGUUUGUGGGUAGCCCAUCAACUGUCUUUAUGGUUAUCCAGUUACGGACAACGUUGGAUCAGCAAUAAAGCACUCGACUCUACAUCUAGAUCCAUGUGGUUUCAGGUAGAAGAGUGGUAUACACUAUUAUCACCAUGAGAAUAAAUUAUGACAUUUGCAUAACUUUCUACUAUAGUAUUUCAUAGCGGGUCAAUCCGGUUACAAAUAUUACUCCUAUAUUCAUACCUAUGUGUUAAGACUUGGUAACUCUUUAUCUAUGAUCCAUGAGAUGUGAUCAUCAGUCUACAAACUAAUGUGUCUUAAUGCUUUAAUGUUAUCCCACUAUCUCACUACACUAUAGCGUCAGACUGGAUACUUUUACAGAUAGUGUCCUUAUGUUUAAAUGCGUUCUACUAUGAUUAAGUCAUACUUAAUACAUUACGGAUUAUCUAUCUAGGGAUUUUAUUAAAUCAAACAUAAUAAGAAAAUGCCUUUUUUAUAUAAAUAAUUCGAUACAAGUACCAAAGUAUUGGCUCUAGGUUACACCAACAAUUCCACCUAGCACUAGAAGCAAUCAGGGAUACCCUAAUGCCCAUUGAUCUGUAUGGCCGUCAUGCUUCUGCUGCGCAAGAGGCUUUGUCAGUGGGUCCAAUAUUGUCAAGUGAGGUACUCUGCAUAUUUUACUCUCCCUAUCUAUUAUCUCUCGAAUGAGAUGAAACGCCUGAGAAUGUGUUUGGAUCUUGGUGGAUCUAGGUUCCUUAGCUUGGCGAUAGCCUAUUGUUAUACAAUGAGACCCUGGGAUUCAUAUGCUUGAACUAUGUCAAGUUCACUAAUGAACUUUUUGAUCCAAACAGCUUCCUUUGUGCACUUGAGCACAGCAAUAUUACUCGGCCUCUGUUGUAGAAUCAGCAACUGUAUCUUGCUUUGAACUUUUCCAGUCCAGCGCCGCCUUUAAGCAAACACAUAACCAGAUUGCGAUCUAAAGUCAUCCUUAUCUGUCUGGAUGCUGGCAUCGGUGUAUCCGAUUACAGCCAACUCUUCCUGACCUCAUAUAAUCAAGAUGAGUCCUUAGUCCUUCUUAAGUACUAAGGAUUUCUUGACCAACUACCCAAUGGGCAUCACCAGGAUCAGAUUGGUACCUAUUCGUUGCACUUAAGCAUACGAGACAUCUGGUCGAGUACAUAACAUGGCAUACAUGAUAGAUCCUAUUGCAGAUGCAUAAGGUCUUAUUCAUGUGAUCCCUUCUUCCUUAGUUGAUUGGUGAUUGUGUUUUUGAUAGACACAUGCUGCUUGCAAUAGGUAUAGAUCCUUUCUUGGAUCAUUCAUAUGUAAAGCGUAUCAGCACUUUGUCCAUGUAGUGUACCUCUCGACUUAGGCCAAGCAGGUUUUUUGUGAUCUAUCUCUAUAGGAUUCUGAUUCCAAUUAUUAGGCUGGCUUCACCUAGGUCCUUCAUAGAAAAGCAUCUUUCCCAACCAAGUCUUUACUGUUGCAGGUAGGGACCAUCGUUUCAAUGAGCAAUAUGUCAUCUACAUUAAUAAUACCAGGAAAACGAUCAUGCUCCCACUAACCUUCUUGUAGACACAAGGCUCAUCUUCGUUUCUAGAAGACGAAUCCAUAUUGUUUUACCGUAUUCAUUCAAACGAAGAUUCCAGCUUCUUGGAAGCUUGCUUCAAUCCAUAGAUUGAUCUCUUUGUAGCUUACUAUCUUAUGGGUUCUUCUAGGUAUGUCAAAUCCUUAGGGUUGAUGUCAUGUAAUAGCAUCCUCAGAAGUUCACCUUAGCGAAAGCAGUUUUGAGCAUCCAUCUGCCAGUAUUUAUAAUCCAUUGAUCUGCAGCCGAUAGCAAGUAAAAUCCGAAUAGAUUUAAGCAUUGCAACUGGUGAAAAGGUUUCAUCAUAGUCAACACCAUGAAUUUGUUUAUAUCCUUUUGCAACCAGUCUUACCUUAUAGGUAUGUACCUUACCUUCCAUGUCAGUCUUCUUUUUGAAGACCCACUUGCAUCCUAUAGGAUUAACUCCUACAGGAGGCUCUACCAAGUUCCAAACUUAGUUCGUGUACAUGGAAUCUAUUUCGGAUUUCAUGGCCUCUAGCCACUUCUCAGACUCGGGACCAGCUAUGGCCUCUUGGUAGGUCACAGGCUCAUCUUGAUCCAUGAGUGAUACAUCACCUUGAUCUGUUAUGAGAUAUCCAUAUCUCUCAGGUAGGUGACGUAUCCUGCCUGACCUACGCUGGUCUUGUUCUACUUGAGUAGGUUGCUCUUACACAACUACUUGUGUUUCCUGCUCUAAUUCCUCCAUAGGUGUAUCGAUACUUUGUGAUUCUUGAAUUUCUUCAAGCUCUACUUUCNAUCAUAUGGAUUAUUCCCAACUCUUGCUUCUAAACAUAUAUAAGAAAAUUAUAAUCAAGUUUGACUCAUCGUUUUAGCAGUUGGAUAUUACAAUUAUCCCAUCGCACCUUAACUAAUACAAAACAUAUAUAAUAUUCUCAUAAUUUGUUUAGUUAAGUUUGACCCAUUGUUUUAACAGUUGGAUAUUACAAUUAUCCCAUCGCACCUUACUAAUAUAUAGAUCAUGCACCUUGCGUAGGCGAAACCUACAUUAUCCAGUACUAGUCUUGAUGAGUGUUAAAAUUUGGAAAGCAUAAACUUAAUAUUUAAUUUGAGGGAAUUGCAAUUUUUCUGAUCUCACCGGCUUGUUUAUCAUAUAAACCGUCUCUCACAUGCAUCAACAUACAUAAUGAAAUAGUUAUGGCCCCUAGCGCAAUUGUUCUCCCAAGCCAAUGAGAGAACCUAAACUAACCUACAACGAUCUAAGCUUCUCCAAGCAAGAUCUUCAAGGUUGUCCUCCUUUGGCACUGACUUCUUUGCUUUCUUCAUAUCAUUACAUUACAUGAAAGAAACUCGUUUUACAUACGAGGGAGUGAGAUGAGAAAAGAAGUUACAUUUGGGAGAUUAAGAGAGAGGCACGACACGCAGGUCGUAUUUUAAAAUCCAAAGCAGAAUAAAGGAAAACUAAGGGCAUAACCGAUCACCACAAGACAAUAAUAAACACUUUAUUAUUAUUAUUAUUAAUUCCUUUAAUUAAUCAAAUUAAAUUUCGACGACCGAUCACACUACGUAGAGUUAGCCGGGGGUCCGCUGCCCGGACAGCGGGAACGGGUGUUCCGCUGCCCGGUCAGCGGACGGUGGUUCUGCUGACCGUUAAGCGGACAGGGGUCAAGGGGGCAGCGUCCCUUGCGGGGUCGAAGGGGCAGCGCCCCUGCUCGAAAUUUUUAAUGAACAAUUCAUUUAAAAUUGACGUCGUUUUUCGUAUCAACACUUGAUACUUCAAAGCACUUUUUCUAGCCGAACGGAUGAAUUUUUCCUUGCGUUAACUGGUUAACCAUAUGCGUUAACCGGUUAACACUGUUUGAAAACUUUUAGAAAAUUCUUUUCUGAGCAAUCCCGCUAAAGCAUCGGUAGUGUACUUGUAUUCUACAUUAAACAUCCUAAAAUAAACGGUACCUACCGUGCUAGCAGUGCCGAGAUGGACAAUGUAAAUCAGGGAACUUAAAAAUUCCCUAGUGAGCCUAUUGUAGGUGGGCGCUUUGCUAGCAAAAAUAUCGUGUAAUCCUAAAUUAUCUAGCAUGUGGAAUACACUAUGAUAUGUGCCUAGAGUGUACAAACAGUCUUCGUUGACAUACCUGGUAGAGAGGAUCUCCCGAGUUUGCAAUCUUUGCAAAAUCUUGUUUUGUCGCUCACCGGGCUUUCCUCCACGAAGAGUGAUGUCGUUAAACUCCAUUCCGGCCAUUAAUGGAGGUUGUUGAGAAAAAUGAGUAAUUAUAGAAAAGAAAUGAAAAAAUGGAAUUAAUGGAUUUUUGGUGGAGGGUUGGAGAAGUGAAGAUGGAAAAUUGUUGGUUUGUAGUGAAAGUGAGAAGAUUGAAAAUUCUUAUGAAUUCGGUAGAGUUUGGAGAAGUAGAGAAUAUGUUUGGAAAAGUUGAAGAAUGUAUAAAUAGUGGAAAAGGUAAAUCUGGCCGUUACGUCAUGGCGCCCGCCAUGGAGCUCAUGGCGCCCGCCAUGUCCUUAUCGGAAAUGGUUUGGGCGGCUGUGUUGUUUGCUUCUUGGACCUUAAUCCUUCUCGUCUUCAUUUUUGCAAUGGGGGUGUAUAUAGUUCCACGAAUGUGUUUUUUAUUUGUUUUUGAUUUUAAGUUUGAUAAAAUAAAAUGAAACGAAUAAAAUAAACAAAUAAAGUAAAACAAAUUAAAUAAACAAAACAAAUAAAAACAAAAUAAGAUAGUAAGUAAAACAAAAUAAACAAAAUAAAAUAAUGGACAUAAAAACAUAAUAAUAUAAUAAUGCAUAAAUUAUAUAUAUAUAUAUAUAUAUAUAUAUAUAUAUAUAUAUAUAUAUAUAUAUAUAUAUAUAUUAUAUAUAUAUAUAUAUAUAUAUAUAUAUAUAUAUAUGUGUGUGUGUGAGAAUAGUCAAUAAUAAUUCACGAGUCCAAAGAUCUUAGGAAAUAAAGCAAGCAUAAUGUCAUAGGAAAUGAUAAAAAUAGGCAUGAAUAAUAAAUACGGGAAAAGAAAUAGGGAAAUUCAAACGGUAUUUCUCAGUCCAUGAUGGCAUCAACGCUCGGGAUAUAGUGGAGUUUCCUCGACCUCGUAGCCUCGAAGCUCUGUGAUCUGGCGUCGGAGAUCGGCGAUCUCAUCAUGCAGCAUAUCAGUCUCGGUGUCGUGUGAGGCAACUGCUACCUCGACCUGCAGGGCAACAUCAGCAAGCUCCUGGCGAAGCUCAACUAUCUCCAUGCGAAGCUUAACCAAUUCGGACUGCAUGCUCGGAGUCUGGAGAUUAGGAUUGUUGGUACGAACUUUAAUUCCGAUCGGUGCAAUCUUCGGCGCAUCUACAGUCUCUCCCUGCCCUUCUAUGGCGUUAACCCAGUUAGCCUGAUCAAUGACACAAGUCACCUAAGGGUCAGGUAAAGUGAAGUAGUGAAUGGUCUCACCCUUAAUUAACAAUCUGUAUUGAUCCGGUUGGAAAGAGGAUCUCCUCAUCAGACCACGGUCCAGACAACAAUCAACAUCCAUCAAGGUGUAGCUGCAAUAAGGUGUCAGGUGAGACAGUCUCCUAUUGAGUCCCAGGGCUGAGGCUAUGUGAGUCACCGUGCUUCCGACAUGAAUGGGGCUCGCAGCAGAGCGAGCACUAAGGUGUAAGCUCUCGAUCAAGAAAACUCCACAGUCUACCGAGUGUGACUGAGUAGUACAGUACAUGAAGAAGAUCUCUUCAGCACUCACAUGCGUAUCAGGGUCACUCUUCCCCAGGAAGGUGUGGGCAAUGAUCAUCUAGAAGUAUCAGAAAGCAGGGUUGUGAAUUUUGUUGGAGAUCUGGGUUGAGGGGUCAGGACUACCUCCACAUGUCAUAUCGCUCCAAAACUUCUCGACGUCUCGGCUCAGAAAGUAUCUCAUGGGGAGAUCGGAUGAAGCAUCAUAGGCAGUCUGAAAUCCAAGUAAAUCACUGAAACGCUUGUGAAACAUUACUUUAAAGUAUUUCUACAGAUUUCAAUAUGUGAAACAUUACUUUAACCGUGAUCCUUACAUUCUAACCUUAAAAAGAUUUAGCCAGACAUGGUAACGCAAACAAACAUAACGGUGUUAAUCAUGAUGAAAAGUUUAUUUUAGAAUGUGAGGCGUAGAGAGCGAGUAAAAUGCGUAAAAUAAAUAAAGUAAAGCGAGUGCGGAAAAUAAAUAAAGUAAAGCGAGUGUGGAAAAUAAAUAAAGUAAAGCGAGUGCGAAAAAUAAAUAAAGUAAAAGCGAGUGCGGAAAAUAAAUAAAGUAAAAGCGGUGCAGGAAAUAAAUAAAGUAAAAGCGAUGCAGGAAAUAAAUAAAUAAAGCGAUAAAUAAGAACCUGCUCCAAACGGAAGCUUCGAUUCUAAUACAAAAAUAAACCUCUGACUCCUGAAGCUAAAGACGACAGCAACUCGAAGUGACCCAACUCAAGCUCAGAAUGGUGCGAUAACCCCCCGAUGUGACAGAUUAUCGCUAUUACAAAUGAUAUCUAUAUGCUUAGUGUUGUAAAACUAAGUUGGAUGAUAGAAAACGAAAUGAAAUGAGCUAUUUAUAGAGAUUCUCAGCAAUUUGUAAAGACCAUGGUGCCCUCCAACUUCUCCUUAGUGGGCUUUAGUGGGAACGUGAUUUCCAAAGGUGGCGCCCGCCAUCCCUUCAUGGCGCCCGCCAUGUGUGUAAAUGGGGUGAAUCGUGGGAACGUGACAGUUACCUCCUGGUUUAGGGCUGGUGACUCAUGGCUUCCCCUAUAACGGUCGCCAUGUGCAACGCCAUGUGUGUAAUUUCGCUGAAAAACCCUAAUUUUAGGUAUUUUUGCUUCGUUUCUUCCAAAAGAGUCCGAAAGUGCUAAAUAUCUGAAAACAAGAGAAAAGAGAGCAUAAUACAAAUAAAAUGAUGAUAAAGUCCUAAUAAACAUGUGAAAUUCGAGUCAAAAAUACAGUGUAAUUCGGUGCGAUCACAAUCCACCAUUUCUUGUAAGAUUGAGUAUAAUUAUAUCUUGUGACGAUAUGAGAUAUUAUUAUACUCACCUUCACUUAUGGGUCUUUGUUAACAAGCGGCAAAAUAUCUUGACAUAUCAAUGCAGCGCUUAAUUUAUCUUGUGACGAUAUGAGAUAUUAUUAUACUCACCUUCACUUAUGGGUCUUUGUUAACAAGCGGCAAAAUAUCUUGACAUAUCAAUGCAGCGCUUAAUUUACGGUGAUCUUGUUCAACAUUAGUUGCAUUGCAACUGUGAGGUGGAUCUAUAGAAGUUAUCUCCCAAGAGGCGUUUCUCUUUUUGUGAGACGCAUCCAACCGAAACUUUGAAGGGAUCUUACGACAUUCGAUGACAUGCCUUCUCACACACAUUCUUCUUUAAUGCAGAAUAUGUAUCUCACUUUUAACUCACUCUCUGAUCGUGGAUACGGGUUAUAAAAAACACUAUUGGAUGUUUCAUCGUCAUGCAAAUCCAUGUUUGCAUAUGUUCAGCGGAUUAUAUACAUGACUUGCAGGUAAGGACGAUGAAUGACCGUCAUCUUCAAUAUUGUUGUUCAACAUAUGAUCAACAUGUGUCUCAGUCUCUUCUUCUUCUUCUUCAAUGACGUUGAGUUCUGCUUCUACUUCUAAGUCGGCUUCAUCUAAGUUUUCUAAAUCAAAAUCAUCAGAUUCAACUUGAUUAGUUACCUGAGAUUGCUGAGAUGAUAUACUUGGUUGAAGAGUAAUAUAUACUCAAUAGAGUUGCGACCAGAAUAUUCGUGACUAACAAACAUAUAUUUAACAUUUUUAUCGUCUUGUACCUUUAGCGGAAAAAAUUUGCAUUGACUGUUCUAUAAAAAAAUUGGAUUUCGAUACGUGAUUUGUGACACAAGACCAGAUCAUAUGCAAGAUUCAAUUUGUUUUUUCAAAUGCAAAAAAUCUGAAUUACUCUUGAUCGUAAGUCGGAUAGUAUCAGUGUUUCAAAAACAAAACCCGUAUAGAUCAGACUCAUAUGUCUCACGUUUGCGGUGAACAUUAAUAGUAUAUUUUGGUGCAUAUGACAUUGUAAUAUUUCUUGUGCAAAUGAAAAGUAAUAUUUUUGUGUGCAAAAACAAAGCCCUAACGCCAGUCCAAUUGACGCUAGCAUGUAUCCCUUGUAUGAGCGUCAGUCCAAUUGGCGCUACCAUGUCUUCCUUGCAGACCUCAUAACCAAGCAUGCAGAGCCUAGGAGGCGCCAGGCUAGGUGAAGACCAUGCAUGCAUGCAAGCCUAGGAGGCGCCACUUUGAUUGGCGCUAGCAUGUGGCAUUUGCAUGUGUAAGCCAAACCAUUUUGCGCUAGCAGGCAAGCACAACUAUCCAUGCAUAUCUUAACAUGUCACUCAUUAUAAAUAACAAUGCAACUCUCACAUUUUUUCCAUGCCAGCAAUCACUUCUUUCAUCUACAAUAACCACUGUUUCAAAUAUUUACUUCGAUAAGAGGUCUCUCCUCACUAUGGAUGAAUCGCACAGAUGCACAAUUGCAAACAUAGUAACUUAUGUAAGUAUUUAAUUCUUGUAUUACUUUUCUAGAAUAUUUUUCAAUAAAGUAACGUAUUUGUUGUUUAUCUUUUAUAAAGUAACGUAUUUCGUUGUACACAUGGACCUGAUGAUUCAAUUAUAUGUCAAACUCGAUGAUUUUGAACAUAUAAGCAAAAUAAUGUCUUGGUCAAUUGACAAUAAAUUUAUUCUUGCGUUAUGUGAAAGGCGUCCCAAGACACACAUUCUAGUUUUCAACCGGUGAAUAUAACGUGACGUUAGAAGACGUCUACAUGUUAUUGAGACUGCAUAUCGAAAAAGAUAAAGCGGUAAAUGGUAAAACCAACUAUGCGAAUUUAAUUUGCAUGAACCUCUUCAAUGUUGAUUUGAUAGAUGAUAAUUCAAGAGGUCAAUAAGGCAUACAAAUAAUAAAAACUACGUGUUACAUUAUACUUUUAAUUAGUUUAUUUUUAUUUCUCAAAAUAAUGGUUCAAGUAUGCAUGUUAUAUAUUUACAUUUACUAAAACACAUAGAUAUAAUAUGAAAUUACAGUUGGGGUCUGCUUGUAAGACUUAUCUUUAUAACUUUUUGUGUUUGACUUAUCUUUAUAGUUUUUUUUGUGUAAAAACACAUAAAAAUACACACUGACUACUGUCUAUUGCGCUCAUCAACAACAACCCAUUCACACCGUCCCUAACGCCCAUCAACAACCCAUUCACAUGCCUGUAUGUACAAAAAUGGACUAUAUUUACUUACUUUACCAAUUAUUAUCUCUAAAUAAUAUUUUAAUUUUAUGGCACAGAUGGUCGACAAGAGGUAUGAGUUAUAACAAAUGUCAAAGCAUUCAACAUCGUUAUGCACACAACACAGCACCCUAUCAUAGUUGUCUUAACCAAAACACUCAACGAUCAUUUAACAUCAACCAUCUAUCCUCCUACCAUAGCACCACAACAAUAGUUUUCAACCUUUCCUCGACACAUCAUUCAUUUGUAUGACUAUCUCAGACAAUCUCCUAUAGGUGGUGGUGAUGUUCCUGGACCCUCGGAUACUCAAACACAUGGGGUGAAUCAUAAACGUGGAUUACGACAUCAAAUUCAGGGAUGUCUAACCAUCUAUUAGGUGAUUCAGCUCAUCAACAUUAGUCUAAUUUUUUUUGUGUAAAAUGAUAUUAUUAAUAUGAAUUGAUCCAAUUUCAACUUUAUAUAUCAUUUAAGUUUAAGAGCAAAUGCCAAUAAAUUUUUGAAUUUUUUUUUUGAAAAAUUGAAUUAUUUGAAAAAAAAAUUCAACAAUAUCAUUUAUAAAAGUAGCAAAUUAAUAAUAAUAAGAUACAACUCCAAUCUUGAUUGUUGAAAGAUAAAUAUUAUCCAGAGGUAUUAAAUAAAAUUUAAGGUGUAUAUUAAAUGUUAAAUAAAUAUAUAAAACACUACUUAUUCUAUGAAUAAAGCAAAAGUCAAGAGUACUAUAGUUACUUUAUCAAAAAAAUACAUCUAGAUAAUAUUUAAUAUUUAGUAAUAAUCAAGUUUAUAACAAUUUAUUAUUAAUAAACUUUCCACUUUUUAUAAAGAAUAUUGUUUAGUAUUGUUUAAUUUAUAUUUAAUUUUCUUAAAACUCUAAUUAAGCGAGAUUAAGGAUGAGAUAUAUACGCUUACCAAAAAAAAAUCUUUUACUAAUACUUUAUCACUCAUUCAUUAUUCAACUUCAAGAUCUCUAAUUCUCAUUAACCUCACGGUAAAAAUUUGUAAGAAAAUGAAUUAUAAAUUACAAUUAAUAUUUAACAUCUAAUAAUCAAGUUUGAAGCUAAAUUAUAAUUAAUAAAUUUGCCACUUCUUUUAAAUGAUAUGAGUCUAUACACUUACCAAAAGAUCUUUUAAAUGGGGUAGAAUGAAACAAAAUAAUUUGAAAAAUACAAAUUAAAACUGAAUCCCCUUAAAAACAGAGCAAUUCAAACGAUUUUAUGGGAAUAAUUGCACUAUUUAUGUGGAAUCAAGAUUUGUGAUAUGUUUUAAAAUCUUAGUAAGAUAUUUCCUCCUCUUCAUCAUAUGUCCUAGGAACCCUCUCCCUCUUCAGCAUCCUUACUAGAACUCCCCACUACUUCAAACAUAUCACUAAUCUUUAUAAAGUCACCCGAAGGAUACCACGGCUAAAGGAUACAAUUCAAUUUGUAAGGAGGCGUCACUUAUUUAAUUAGCUCUCCAAAGAAACAAGAAGAUCACUAGUAAAGAAAAAGCCAAAAACAAGAUAUGAGACGAGACAAGUUGCAUUCUACCCAUUUAAAAAUAAUCAAGAGGAGCAAUAAAACGGCCAAGAAUCAAUAAAACAAGUUGCAUUCUACCCAUUUAAAAAUAAUCAAGAGGAGCAAUAAUACGGCCAAGAAUCAAUAAAACAUCAUGACUCACAUUCAACCGCUCAAGAUUAACCUCACACGACUGACUCCACAAUGGCACUCGAGUACACUCAAGUGAUACAGUGACGUUGCCAAUCCCCUAUCCUAAAUCCUAGGGCAUAUAGAGAGUUCUCACAAUAAGUAUGGAUUAAUUCGAAGGCUCAACAUCAUAACCAAGUACAACUCAUUUUUAAUCUUGCAAGAGACCUCUUUAAACUAAGAAACUUGAGCAUUAAAUUGUUUACCUUGUAGGUACAUUCCCCGCAUUCGCAUGUCAAAGAACUUGCUGCUGCUACUAGUGCAACCUCAUCCGCUCAUCAUCAAUUUCCUAUUCCACACUAGAAUAGGUUUGAUUCAUUCUACAUUUUUUGAUAAGCAUGCCAAGUUUAAAUAUUCUUCUAUAUAAAAUAAAUCACUCAAUAUUGAGUUAUGUUAUAUAGAAAAAUAUUGUUAAGACCAAAGCAAACUGAGAAAUGUGUUUAUCAAAACAUCUAAGAACAGAAUUUAUUCCCAACUUUUAACUACUUAUAAACGAGAAGUUAGAUCAGAAACUCACAAAACUAAGUGCUUAUAAGGGCCAGUAGCUAAAAAAUUACAAAGAAGCCAAUUACAAUUCAGUAUAGUUCAUAUUAGUACAAAACGUGGUAAUAAAAAUAAGUUAAUAUGACAGUAUAAUGUGAAACUCAUAUACACAUCAUCAGAAAGGAUAAUUUAUCUCAUCCACAACCUAAGUUGUGUAGGAAGGUGUCCUAAGAUUUAUUCCAAACUCAUCACAUGAUACAUAAAAUGCAAAUACAAAGGGACAAUAUAAUACUGUCAAAAUACCCUAAAUAAACAGAGAAAUAUACAUUAUAUAACAAAAGUAUAGAUUCAGAAGCAUAUAGAUAUAUUUAGCAUCACAAAAUCAGAUCAAGUGUUGGAUUAUAUAUUUUGCUUCAUCCUUAUCGACCACAGUUAACAAAACGUUUUCAAAGAAGAUGGAUCUGUAAAAGUCAAUUAAGAUUUAAAUAUUAUUGAGAAAUUUAGUUCCCCGACGUCCAAAUACAACAUCGAAAUUGUAGUAGUGGAUAGCGAGGGGAACACAAUUAUAGGCUUCAAUUAAACACUACAAACACAUUUGAAAAGUGAAUGCAACAAUAAAAUCCAGAUCUGAAGCCACAAAGUUUCGAUAAUUAAAAAUUGAAAACUUAUAAAAACAAGAAUCAAAGAGAAAAUUGGGUGAAGAACUAGUUAACUCAGCCCCUUAGAUGUUCAAUAAAUCUGCGAUCAUUCCCGCAAAUCAUUACAGG